CUACGAACGUAAGAUGACUGUAGGUGAAAGCUUACAUCUCUUCGGAGCAUUUUACGAGGUGCUGCAUGGUUGUUGUCAGCUCGUGCCGUGAGGUGUCGGGUUAAGUCCCAUAACGAGCGCAACCCUACCUUUAGUUGCCAUCAGGUAAUGCUGGGGACUCUAAAGGAACUGCCUACGCAAGUAGUGAGGAAGGCGGGGAUGACGUCAAAUCAGCACGGCCCUUACGUCCAGGGCUACAUACGUGCUACAAUGGCCGAUACAGAGGGCAGCUACCUGGUGACAGGAUGCAAAUCUCCAAAGUCGGUCUCAGUUCGGAUCGGAGUCUGCAACCCGACUCCGUGAAGUUGGAUUCGCUAGUAAUCGCGCAUCAGCCAUGGCGCGGUGAAUACGUUCCCGGGCCUU
rnacentral:rRNA from 1 species